GACGAACGCUGGCGGCGUGCUUAACACAUGCAAGUCGAACGGGCCUGUCUUCUUUUUUGGGGGUGGGUUGAGUGGCGAACGGGUGAGUAUCACGUGAGUAACCUGCCCUUCGGUCCUGGAUAACCGCUUGAAAGGGCGGCUAAUACGGGGUGGUCCGGUUGGUCCGCAUGGGCUGGUCGGGAUAGAUUCACUGUUUUUGGUGUUUCGGCGGGGGUGGGGCUGGCGGCCUAUCAGCUUGUUGGGGGGGUGAUGGCCUACCAAGGCGGUGACGGGUAGCCGGCCUGAGAGGGUGGGCGGCCACACUGGGACUGAGAUACGGCCCAGACUCCUGCGGGAGGCAGCAGUGGGGGGUAUUGCACAAUGGGCGGAAGCCUGAUGCAGCGACGUCGCGUGAGGGAUGGAGGCCUUCGGGUUGUGAACCUCUGUUUCCGGUGGUGAAGGCCCUGUCCGUGUGGUGGGGUUGACGGUAGCCGGGGAUGAAGCGCCGGCUAACUACGUG
rnacentral:rRNA from 1 species